GAGCUCACUUCGGCAGCACAUAUACUAAAAUUGGAAGGAUACAGAGAUUAGCAUGGCCGCUGUGCAAGGAUGACACAAAAAUUCGUGAAACCUUCCGGAUUUUU
ensembl:snRNA U6 U6 spliceosomal RNA